rfam:Chryseobacterium arachidis strain DSM 27619 genome assembly, contig: Ga0131169_110
AAAUAGCCCGGAUUGAAACGACAUCCUUUUGGGUUGCGGGUGAAGCGAAGCGGAGCCCGUAACCCAAAAGAUACAGUGGAAAGCCGGAAAAGCU